AUACUUCUCUGACAGGGGAACUCCAUGAUCUUGAAGGUGAUUUAUCCAGGACAAGGUUUAGCUAUUGCUCAAUGGAUGUGCUGAGCUCUGCGAUUUCCCCAAAUGUGGGAAACUCAUCUACAAAAACUGUGGCAGUGAGGGACUGCAUUAGUACUCUCUCUUA